rnacentral:rRNA from 1 species
UUUGACGUUACCUACAGAAGAAGCACCGGCUAACUCCGUGCCAGCAGCCGCGGUAAUACGGAGGGUGCGAGCGUUAAUCGGAAUUACUGGGCGUAAAGCGCAUGCAGGCGGCCUGUUAAGUCAGAUGUGAAAGCCCGGGGCUUAACCUCGGAAUUGCAUUUGUAAACUAGGCAGGCUAGAGUCUUGUAGAGGGGGUAGGAAGUUUCAGGUGUAGCGGUGAAAUAGCGUAGAGAUCUGAAGGAAUACCAGUGGCGAAGGCGGCCCCCUGGACAAAGACUGACGCUCAGAUGCGAAAGCGUGGGGAGCAAACAGGAUUAGAUACCCCUGGUAG